rnacentral:rRNA from 1 species
GACGAACGCUGGCGGCGCGCCUAACACAUGCAAGUCGAACGAGCGAGAGAGAGCUUGCUUUCUUGAGCGAGUGGCGAACGGGUGAGUAACGCGUGAGGAACCUGCCUCAAAGAGGGGGACAACAGUUGGAAACGACUGCUAAUACCGCAUAAGCCCACAGGUCGGCAUCGACCAGAGGGAAAAGGAGCAAUCCGCUUUGAGAUGGCCUCGCGUCCGAUUAGCUAGUUGGUGAGGUAACGGCCCACCAAGGCGACGAUCGGUAGCCGGACUGAGAGGUUGAACGGCCACAUUGGGACUGAGACACGGCCCAGACUCCUACGGGAGGCAGCAGUGGGGAAUAUUGCACAAUGGGGGAGACCCUGAUGCAGCGACGCCGCGUGGAGGAAGAAGGUCUUCGGAUUGUAAACUCCUGUUGUUG